rnacentral:rRNA from 1 species
AGGGAAUCUUCCACAAUGGACGAAAGUCUGAUGGCGCAACGCCGCGUGAGUGAUGAAUGUUUUCGGAUCGUAAAACUCUGUUGUAAGGGAAGAACCAGUACGUCAGGCAAUGCACGUACCUUGAUGGUACCUUAUUAGAAAGCCACGGCUAACUACGUGCCAGCAGCCGCGGUAAUACGUAGGUGGCAAGCGUUGUCCGGAAUUAUUGGGCGUAAAGCGCGCGCAGGUGGUUUCUUAAGUCUGAUGUGAAAGCCCACGGCUUAACCGUGGAGGGUCAUGGGAAACUGAGAGAAUUGAGUGCAGAAGAGGAAAGUGGAAUUCCAAGUGUAGCGGUGAAAUGCGUAGAGAUAUGCGGGAAUUCCAGUGACGAAGGCGACUUUCUGGUCUGCAACUGACGCUGAGAAGCGAAAGCAUGGGGAGCAAACA